rnacentral:rRNA from 1 species
UNUGCUGGAACUUAACUGACGNUAAUGCGUGAAAGCGUGGGGAGCAAACAGGAUUAGAUACCCUGGUAGUCCACGCCCUAAACGAUGUAUACCGGUUGUUGCUGUGCUAGUCACGGCAGUAAUCCACCUAACGGAUUAAGUAUACCGCCUGGGGAGUACGGUCGCAAGAUUAAAACUCAAAGGAAUAGACGGGGACCCGCACAAGCGGUGGAGCAUGUGGUUUAAUUCGAAGAUACGCGAAGAACCUUACCCGGACUUGAUAUCUAACAAAUCAUCCAGAGAUGGAAGAGUGUCUGCUUGCAGAAAUGUUAAGACAGGUGCUGCACGGCUGUCGUCAGCUCGUGUCGUGAGAUGUUGGGUUAAGUCCCGCAACGAGCGCAACCCACGUCAUUAGUUGCUAACGGUUCGGCCGAGCACUCUAAUGAGACUGCCUUCGUAAGGAGGAGGAAGGUGUGGACGACGUCAAGUCAUCAUGGCCCUUAUGUCCGGGGCGACACACGUGCUACAAUGGCAUAUACAAUAAGACGCAAUAUCGCGAGAUGGAGCAAAUCUAAAAAAUAUGUCCCAGUUCGGAUUGGAGUCUGCAACUCGACUCCAUGAAGCCGGAAUCGCUAGUAAUCGUAGAUCAGCCAUGCUACGGUGAAUACGUUCCCGGGUCUUGUACUCACCGCCCGUCACACCAUGGGAGUUGAUUUCACUNG